CUUCCCGGUAAAUCUGUAAAUUGAACGAAGCAAACGAAGGCACACUACAAGGUCCAACAUGUGAACACCAUUCCUUGCAGUUGGGCCAUCAAAACUCGCCCGGCCCAACGGAACCUCUAACCUAUAUACCGAAAUGCGAAAUAUAGCCCAGCUGUUCCGCGGAGCGAACGAUCCAAGCAACCCACCCAGCCACCCAUCGCCAAUUCGCCAUGCGUGAGGCGAUCGGAGCAUCCCGUCCCGAGGUGGAAGACGCUGGUGCGGACGAAGGCAGUGGUGUACGCCGACCACUUUAUGCUCUCCUGCCACAACUGGGUCAGUGUGGUGUGGCCGCUACGAAAUCUUGCUGGAUCGAACAUUUUAGUAAUGAUUUUACUGACCUUCUGCAUGUGCUGGAUGCAUGCAUAGGGCCCUGACGCGUGGUUGCGCAACGCCAACACCUCGGAGGGCUUCCGGCCAGGCCCAGGGC
rnacentral:lncRNA from 1 species